UACGUAGGUGGCAAGCGUUGUCCGGAUUUACUGGGCGUAAAGAGCGCGCAGGCGGCUGGGCAAGUCCGAUGUGAAAGCUUCCGGCUUAACUGGAAAAUUGCAUCGGAAACUGCUCGGCUUGAAGGUGGGAGAGGGUAGCGGAAUUCCCGGUGUAGUGGUGAAAUGCGUAGAUAUCGGGAGGAACACCUGUGGCGAAAGCGGCUCUCUGGACCACAACUGACGCUGAGGCGCGAAAGCUAGGGGAGCAAACAGG
rnacentral:rRNA from 1 species